rnacentral:piRNA from 1 species
UGAGGAUCAAAUCUCAAAGCCUUUGUAC